CAAAGACAGGCUGUUUCAAGAACGCGGUCUUGAACAAUUUGUUGACAUCUUCACAAAAGAAAAAUAAUUCUCUAAAUCAGUAACUGAGUCUCCGGAAGGUUUCUUCUUGGAAACCCCCACAUAGUCUCAUGAGCACCUACAAUGACAGAAAGGGAGGGAAUUUAUCAGCAUGUUAAUGUUUAUUCAGUGCAUCUGUGGGUGGAAGAAGAGUCAAGACUCUCCUGUUCUGCCAUGUUGCUGAUGUCUUCUAGUUUGUUUCCUAUAAAGAACAGUGCCCAGCACAAAUCAGAUUUCCAAUAAAUAUCUGGAGAGUGAUUGUUUGUGUCACUUGGAACUGCCACUACCAUCUUGGAACCCUGAGUCCAAAGGCAAGAAGAUGAGUAGAAAAAAAGAAGACUUGUUGCAGCAUCUCAUGUGUCUAACCUGAAGAUAAACCAGCAUCAGAAAGCAUUAAUUAGCUCAUCAUUCAAACUGUCUUCAGUGAAAAAUUAUCUGAGGCUGUGCAAGCCAGGAAAUGCCUGUCAGUGCUCAACCUGUCAGAAUCUCCAUUUGACCACAGGGUCAUUUGCAGUGGCAUCUGAUGGGAAAGUCAGCAUCCCCAGUAGCAUACUCGUGAGAGCAUUUCCCCAGGACUGUUCUAGUAAACAGGCUCUGGCUCAUUGCUUAAAUGUUGGCUAAAGACAGAGCCAUCUGGAAAGCAGGGUAUUAGAAUGAUCUCUAUUUUUCCAAGAAUCAAAGCAAGGUGGAACAUUUCAGAAUGAAACCAUGGAUGUUAUUCAUAAAAUCUGGGCCACAUAAGGUUAGAGGCAUAUUGAUUUUCAGUCUCAGGAUGAAAUGGCCAUCUUUGGCCUUUCAGGAAAAUGACCACAGAUUAAGAUGAUGAAGAACAGAUGCCACUAUUUGAAGCUUCAAUUAGAAAGCCCCAAAUGGGCUUAAUCGACAAGACAGCCAUAACAACUGUGUCCUGCCACAGAUUGACGGAAGGAAGACAAAUGUUUUAAUGUGGUGAAGACAAAUCUAGCUGCUUCCAAACAAAUGAUCUGGUCAGUUUGAAAAAGUUGGAAGGAAUCAAACUUGCCAAUAUGUACCAAGUUCCAGGAAGGACUUAGAUUUGAGUAAUUCAUGUUGGAAUUAAGUUUAAGAACAAAAACCUUUUUUAAAAAAUGUUUUCUUAGAUGAGCUCACCCAUGAGACUAUCUAUACCUGGCAGGGUUUAGAGAAAGCAUAGACAUAAAUCUACCUCUGCCUUGCCUAGAAGGCUUUGUGUCUCUUUUUCUGUAAAUCUUCCUCUCUUUUAGUAGCCCUUCCCUUCCCACUACCCAAAAGCAUCAUCCUCCCAUAAUGGCUCAGACAUAGAUUAUAUCUAUAAAUUCAUUCCCACCAAUUAGUGAUCACUGACUAAUGUUGAAUUAUUUUUCUUUAUGGAAAAACCUAGUGUUUACGCCAGUGAAAUGUAUCACUAAUAGUUGGAUUUCAGGUAUCAGCCACUAGUUGGAAAGAUAUCAGAGGGAAAACAUAUAUUCAUUCCACAGUCAUUUAUUCAUACGAUAGCCAUUAAUAUCACCUUUUUGAACAUCUUCCUUUUGUAAGUUACAAUGAAAAUACAAUAAAAUAUAAGUUAAAUUUCUUUUGCUCCAGAUUUUAUUUACAAACAGGGGAGUUAAGAUAUAUAGAUAAAUAACUAUACAUUAAGUCAGUGCCUGAUAUAGAUAUAUCA
rnacentral:lncRNA from 1 species